GCUAUAGCCUGUAGAUGGCAGCAACGUGGCGUAUCAAUCACAGUGUCUGGAAGGAACCACAACGAAGAAGUCACGGACAUCGAAGAAGAAACUCGUUUCCCUCCAUGGAUCAGAUGAUUGAAUCUAUUUAUCUGUUCAAUCUGUGGAGAGAUGGACACAGUUGAAGGUGUUCAACAAGCGCAGAUUGAUUCUCCUGCUGCCCAUGAUCCUGAUGGGGUUGAUGUCACAUCUUGGGUGUCGGUCUGUCCGAGAGGCCUCUGGGCGGUCCAGAAGACGCUGACGCUCUCAGGAAGCCAUCAGAAAGUCUCGAAUUCUGGAGAAGGACUGUCGUCCGCUAACAAGCCAAGGUUGGGUUCACUGUGUCGUGUUCGUGUGUGUGUGACGGAUCAAGCUGAAACCUCGCCAUCUGUAAAAGAAGAUGAGACCAAGCGAGGAGUUCCACUUGAUUUUCCAGAAGCGACUGUACUACAGCGUCAGCUGGACUCUGUCCUGCAGAUACCACUAGGUGAAUGGACAACAUUUCGACUUGGAGAGGGUCAUUGUGAUGUUACAGAAGUAUGUGUGGAGGCCAUGAGAGCUGGAGAGACAUGUCAGAUUCGACUCAUUCCGGCAAAUGGAGUUGACACAUGGCAUUCCCGGCCCACGGAGGAAGUACGUGCCACUGUGGAGCUCCAAGCUUUCACGCCAGGAAAGGAAUCCUGGCAGAUGUCACCUGGUGAAAAAUGGGAGUGGGUGAGGUCCCAUAAGGAAAGAGGCGGUCAGAGGUUCCGAAGCGGAGACUUGUGGGGAGCGUCGGACAGCUACAGUCGCGCCCUCAAACUCGUCAUCACCCUGCUGGGCUGCGAGGCGGACAGACAAGAACAGCAAAUCGACGAACAAAGUACGGCAGCCUCUGAAGAUCCACCGUGCGCUCCCACGGUUCAUCAAGUGCAAAGCAUGAAAGCAGAACUUCACUCCAACUUGUCGUUGUGUCAGCUCAAACUGAAGCAGCCAGCGCGGGCUAAAGAAAAUGCCGCUAAGGCCACACGGCUGGAACCAGGCGGGGCUAAAGCUUGGUACCGACUCGGCCAAGCCUGCCAGAUGGUGAACGAGCUGGAGGAGGCCCGGCUGGCCUUUCGAGAACUGCUGAAGCUGCAGCCGGAAUCCGCGGCCGCCACGAAGGCUCUGAAAGAAAUCACAAGUCGAGAAAGGGAAACAAAUGCACAGCUGGGACAGAGACUUAGUAAAAUGUUCAACUAGAAAGCAGGAGAUACGUAUGACUGCAACGUGUCAGCCAGACCUCCCGCUGACAUCUCCAGAGGGUUCAAAAUGCUGAAUGGCUACCCUCUCACUUAAUUUAUUUAUUGUUGUUAAUCUUAAAUGCCUUAUCAUUUGAUUGUGGUUUCAAUAAAAAGGAGUUGAGUUUUGUGUUGUUGAGAAGCCAAAAUAA